CUUGUACUCCCUCCGUCACAAAAUAAUUGUCAUUGAAAUGGAUGUAUCUAGAUGUAUUUUAGUUCUAGACACAUCCAUUUUGAUGACAAGUAAUUCCGGACGAAGGGAGUACUUG
rfam:Triticum aestivum genome assembly, contig: Triticum_aestivum_CS42_TGACv1_scaffold_327850_4BS